CGAAGCUGGAGAAGCCAGAAGAAUAGAAUAUGUGGAGCCAGCCAGUGCAGCCAAAGCAGAUGUGCGGAAGGUUCUGCUCAUCAUACUCACACUGGAACUCGGGCUCAUGGAGCAGCUGCCAUCUCCAUCACUGUCAGUCACCUUGCCAGAGGGGAAGCCGGACUCCAGAGCGUAUGGCACUGGCGGCAAUUAAAUGUUCUCGCCAGGAGUGGCCCCUGUGGUUUCUGCUCACAGCUCAUUGGCCAGAACUAGUCACAUGCCUCUACUUAACCAUAAGGGGGCGGGGCGAUCCUACCCUGUCCCCCAAAGGCAGAGAUCCAGAAAUACCUGGUGGGCUGGGCAAAUGACUAGCUUGGUUUCUAUGGACUUUUUUAUUUCUUUAAAAUAUAUAGAAGAUUAUAAGCAAAAAAAGUAGAAUGGAAUAAAACAGGAAAUAUCAUAGGGCAUCACAAAGUUUUAAAAUUAUGAUUAAGGUGCAAUAAUUUUUUUUUUUUUUUUUUUUUUUUUUUUNNNNNNNNNNNNNNNNNNNNNNNNNNNNNNNNNNNNNNNNNNNNNNNNNNNNNNNNNNNNNNNNNNNNNNNNNNNCCUAUGCCACAGCCACAGCAAUGCUGGAUCUGAGCCGCAUCUGUGACCUACACCAGAGCUCACAGCAAUGCUGGAUCCUUAACCACUGAGCAGGGCGAGGGAUCCAACCAACAUCCUCAUGGAUACUAGUCUGGUUCCUUACCGCUGAGCCACAACAGGAACUCCUCAAUAAAUGUUUCUGAGAUGAUGAAAAUUCUUUCUGAAAAGGGAUCAUAGCCACAACAAACAUGUCUUUUUUUGCUUUGUCACUAAGAAAGUGCUUGCCCACUGGUAAUCUUACCUGGGGUAUUUGGGGCCCCCUUUAUGGAUGGCGAAACUGGCUCAGAGAGGUGAGGGAUCUGCCCAGGUCAUGCAAUCAAAUGGCAGAGCUGGGACUUGGGACAAGUAAGGUAACUGAUGAAACUUCCUUGUCAAACCCCAAUCUUGCUUCUCUUUCAUUUAUUCACCCCAAUAACUUGCUACUGUUGACUUCUUUUAAUAAUACUAAUAUUUAACAUAUACUGAGUUUAAUACUAUUAUCAUUGCUAUUUUAUGGCCAAGGAAACUGAAGCUCAAACAGAUGAGAUGACCACCUAAGGUUACACAGCUCAUGGUAACCUUGGUAGGACUUGAGUUCAUACCCUAGUCUAUGAGAUUCAAGACUAUAACUACGAUGUUCUUUUGCCACUCUGGCUUAUUGAUCUGAGUUUAGAACUCACUUGAAUGGCAUAAUGGAUAAGGUUUGAGGGAACACCCCAUGAUUGUUUGGUCCAUAUGGUUCCAGCAACUCCUGCUUAAUGCCUUGGGCUCUUCUUAUAUUCCUAGCCCUAGAGUGGGAGAUCCUUUGAGACCCUGCAUAGAAUCUGGAGCAUCGGUAACCCAUGGAAGGCACCCUGGUAAGACAGUAAUGUGGAUUAUUUCAUUUAACCUUCACAACACCAGUGAAGCACAUGUAACCCAGGACUGUGGGAGUGAGAAGAACCCUUAUCAUGCGUGUGGAAGUGGUCUCAGCUGGGAUUCUCAAGUACUGAUGGGAUCCAGACUCGGCUCUGCCUCCAGCUGCAAAUUACUUUCGCGCACUCUGAUCCUUAGAUUUCAAGUCUGCAGCGUUCUACCUUUGAGCUGGAUGAUCUGGAAAUUCCUGGAGAGGAGGGGCUUGCCUGAGCAGUGCUUAGCACAGUGCUUAUCACAAGAGGACUGCAUAAACAGUGCUAUUAUUAUAAUCCAGAGACCGUGUUUUCGGAAAUGAAAAUUGGUGUGUAUGAUCUGAUAAGUGAAGGGACCAUGGGCAGAGUAUUUGAAAUGGGAACUUCCUUGGAAACUUUGAGUUACAAAGUUUCAAUGUGGUUGUCAGGUUGUCUGUUACUAGGAAAUGAGGUAGCACUAAUUCUUUUUGUCUUCUAUAAAGUUUGGUUCACAUUUAUCCAAAGCUCACUGUGUACCAGACUCUGUGCUAAGACAUUUACAACCAUUCGCUCCUUUAGCCCUCAUAACCACCCCAUGUUGAGCAUCUCUGUUUCUCAGAUGAGGAAACUGGGGCUCAAGGACUGGGACAGUUUCCCAGGGUCUCACUACAGGCAGGAGAUCCAGGCUCAACCUGGUGCUCUGACUUGAGUCCUUGUUUUUGUCCCCCUGUUUUCCCUUCUCCGGCAUACUGAGUCCAACCCACCCCCUGCUUAUGUGGAAGUCACAUGAGCAUAACAUGUGCUCCAGACUCCUUAUAGCCAAUUAUUUAAUCUUCACAUCAUCUUUCUAAGGUGUGUGUUACUGUUGUCCCUCAUUUGAUAGAUGAAGGUCUUGAAGCUCCAAGGUCAGAUAGGUUGCCCAAGAUCAACCAGCCAAUGUUGGAUUCAAACCCAGACCGCUAGGCCUCUUUGACUUCAAAGCCUUGGGUUUAAGCCAGGGUUUCUCACACUUGGCACAGCUGACAUUUGGGGCUGGACAAAUCUUUGUUGGGAGGGGAAGGGGUAUUGUGUAUUGGAAGAUGUUUGAGAGUGUCCUCGACUUUUAUCCACUAGAUGCUAGUGACUCUCUUCCCCUAAUUGUGACAACCCAAAUCAUCUCCAGACAUUGUCGAAUGCUCCCUGGGUGCAAAAUUUCUCCCAGUUGAGAACUCUUACUUCUGGCUGGCUGCCCGGGCCACCUCAGGACUGGGGAUGCAUGCAAGAAGAGCUGAAACUUUUGUGAUCUUCUCUUAAGAGUCUGAGGGCAGGGAGUUCCUGUUGUGGCUCAGAGGGUUAAGAACCUGACGAGUAUCCAUGAGGAUAUGGGUUUGAUCCCUGGCCCCGCUCAGUGGGUUAAGGAUCCAGCAUUGCUGCAAGCUUCGGUGUAGGUUCUGGCAUUGCUGUGGCUAUGGCAUAGGUCAGCAGCUGCAGCUUCAAUUCAACCUCUAGCCUGGGAACUCCCAUAUGCCAAAGGAGUGGUCCUGAAAAGAAAAAAAAAAAAAAAAA
rnacentral:lncRNA from 1 species